rnacentral:rRNA from 1 species
UACGAAGGGUGCAAGCGUUACUCGGAAUUACUGGGCGUAAAGCGUGCGUAGGCGGUUUGUUAAGUCCGUUGUGAAAGCCCUGGGCUCAACCUGGGAAUUGCAGUGGAUACUGGCAAGCUAGAGUGCGGUAGAGGAUGGUGGAAUUCCCGGUGUAGCGGUGAAAUGCGUAGAGAUCGGGAGGAACACCCGUGGCGAAGGCGGCCAUCUGGACCAGCACUGACGCUGAGGCACGAAAGCGUGGGGAGCAAACAGG